GGUAACGUAACCAUGGCGUGACCCCAGAUUCACAAGGUGGUGUAAUCGUAGCCGUCACUAUUUCAGUGUGUUUUCAGUUCAGUGUUUGGUUGUACUAAAAGAUCCUCUAAGGUGUCGGGUGUUCAGUUUUUCUAAUGCACUUUUAAAACAUCUACAGUCACCAUCUGUCACAACUGGUAAAGGCCCAAAUAUUUCUCCAGAACCACUUCAAGAAACAUCUCAACAGUUGGCUAUAUCUUCUUUUGAUGAUGAGAGCACAACACUGACCACAGAUUUCACAUCGUCACUUUUCUCAGAGGGACGGGGGGCUGGAGUGAAGCUCGCCUAGGGCACCGAAUGGGGAUUCAAAUAAUCUUUCCCUUUUAAGUUCAUAUAAACCACUGAGAAUAACCAACCUUGCACAGCAGCACAGCAGAGCACCCUGUGCCAAGCUGAACACAUCCUAUUUGAAGAAGAUGACAACUAAGAGGCUCCACGUGAUGGAACUGACACAUCCAGAGUGUGCUGGCUGUGAUGUCCCUGUACUGAAGCUUGAAUUUUUGCCACACUAUCAGUGUAAGACUGCUUUUGAAGUGAGUUGAAAGAACUUAAAUCCAAUGAUGACUGGGUGCAGUUCCUCAUCUGUGACCAGACUAUGUGUGAGUGUGGGUACACGGCAAACCCAAUGAGGAUGCUAAUAUUUCACUUUUCCUCCAAAACAGCCUUCAGACAGAUGAUUAUGGUUAAAUCAUACUUACAUAAGUUUAUAAAAUUAUUAUUAUAAAAUACAAGAAAUGGUUGUCUAAAAAUGUAUUCUCAUUCACCACCUCAGAUUAGUUGAUAUUUUUGUGUAACUUCAGCUUGGUCUGCAAUUGUCAAUUGGAGAUCCAAUGUAUCAAAUGCAGAUCUGACAACCAGAACUUUUCUCUUCUACAAGGAAAGAUCACGUUUCCUGUGCUGAAGCAUCUGAGUGAGAGGAUAAAUGUGAUUUUAGAAAAUUCUGUAUGUGCUUUUAAAUACAAAGGUGUAUUUGGAGUGCUCUGUCCCUGGAAAUGUGUCCUUGUUUAGUGACAGCAGAACCCAUGAGGGGAGGGAAGUAUUAUGACACAUCACUUUCCGAGCAGGAGAGACAAAGGGGCACAUGUGCAUGAUUUAUGUGUUGGAAUAAUAGCAAUCUCCAACCUGUUGGCCCAUCGUUGAGCACAGAUGAAACAAGAUGGCACUGUCAAGAUCAGAGUGAACAAAAGGGCAAUAACUGUCUUGAGAACAAAUAAAAGCUAAUCAUGGACUUAUUAGACUUCUCAUGAGGAAAUGAAAGCUCUUCAUCAAAUCACAUCAUUUCAUCUGUUUUUAUGUUGUUGUUGUUGUUGUUGUUCACUCUAUAUUCAGGUCAAGUCAAUUUUUAUUUGUAUAGCCCAGUACCAGAAAUCACAAAUUUGCCUCAUUGGGCUUUACAAUCAGUACAGCAAUACAACAUUCUCUAUCCACAGACCCUCGAUUCAAAUAAAACUCCCUAAAAAAACUGGGGAAAAAUGGAGGAAACCUCAGGAAGAAUAACAAAGGAGGGAUCCCUCUCCUGGGAUGGACAGACUUGCAAUCAGUGUUGUGUGCACAGAAUAGACCAAUAAAGCAAAAUUACAGAAAUACAGCAUGAACAAACAUUAUGAAAAAAUAAUAGAUGGAUUGAUAAUAUAUAUAAAGAAUCUGGUCAGGAGAAUGUUGAGAAACUUCCAGGUGCUGCCAAAAACAGAUUCAUCAUCAUUUAGGCAGUUGAUCAUUUUUCACAAUCAGAGCGACUUUGAGCUUGUACAAACACAACAAACUUUCAUCUUACAACUGUGACCUCUUUUUGCGACCUCUAUCUUUGUAAAAGAGUUCACAAAUAUUAACUGGACUGUCUUUGACAGUAGGAAGGCCAAACAGUAUGUGUUUCAUAUUUAAACAGGCUGGUUUCAGCAAACAAGGCUUGUUAUUGGGGUUAUAAACCAUUGAAUUAUGAAACUUGGGAAAAUGACUCAUGCCAAAUGUAAUUUUCUUUAAUUGAGUAUCUUUAACAACAGCACCAUCAUUCAAAGCUUAUUUUAAAUAACUCAGAUGAUACCUUUACUCAUUUAAAUGAAUCAUGUGCUUCCUGCUAUUUAGAGAAUUGUUUGAGCUUUAUAUCCUGUUGUCUUGUGUGGAGAUGUCUGUUCCUUUUUUAUUAUGCUUUUACGGAUACAAGCUUAAUGAAUACCAUUCAGAGGGCCUAUCGCUGAUCUGCAGCUACUCAGGAAUAUAUAUGAGGCUGAUUUGUAUGUAUUUGAAAGUCCUUUAGCUUUUUGAUUGCAGUUUUGUGCUUAGGAGGUGUUUGUUCAGCCUCUUCUUGAAGACAUGAACACUACUUGAUGUGAUGGCUCUGACGACAGCAGGGGGAAGGCUGUUCCAUGUUGUUACAGAGUGCAGAGUGGAAAAAGCUCCUGUCAAGCUCCGGGGAGUGACAUGGCAUGGCUUGGUGGUAACCUCUGGGUGGUUUGUGCUGAGACAUGAGCUGAGGGUAGCAGUGCUUUCAGGUCUGCUGGACAGUUGGAAGUGUGCAUCUUGAAAAGAACAAGCAGCAACUGUUCUGUGGUGGUUCAGCUUGGUGAUGGUGUAAUCCUUUAGGUCAUAGACCUCAUCUUUAUUGCCUUUUCCUGGAUGAUUUCUAGUAACCUAAGAGUGCUGUGUGAGGCAUUCAUCUAGGCAAGGCAGGAGUAUACCAUGAUGCUCCUGACCUGGGUUUUGCAGACGUUGGCUCUGCUUCUAGGAUCAAGCUUGUUGGCCAACUUCUGCAAUGCUUCGAGACAUUGUCCAGCACAUUUGCAGAUGUAAGACUGAUGGCUGGCCCGCUGGAGUUUUUGGUCAAUGCAUAGUCCUAGAAUUUCCAUUUGCUCACUGAACUUGAUUUUAGUGCCAGGGCCCUUGUGGUUGCUGGGGUGUCUGAUAGAAUUAGAAUUAUGAUAUUGUCUCCUCUGGUUUGUUUGCUGACAAUCUGAUCUAGUCCUAGGCAGUUGGCAAGUUGCAGGGCAUGUCGUCCAGCAGCGUCCAAGCCACUCUUCAUGAUGUACACUAAACUCACUAAUGAGCAUUACAGACUGAGCGCCAAACUUGUCCACUGAGAAGGUAUGAGUGUCAAGAUAGUCCAAGACUUCAUUGGAGGCACUUGGAGGAUGGUAUACAGGUCCUAUCAGCAGCUUCCUGGUCUUCAGAGCAACAGUGAACCACAUGAGCUCGACGUCUUCAGGGUCUUUGGAUGGAUUGUGGUAGAUGGAUUGUCUAGACAGUAGACUGCUAUACCACUACCAGUCGCUCCAACUGGCAAGCUCACCAAUAUUGGAGUGUAAUCCCUGAAUGUUCACUCCAAGGAUUACCAGUUUAGUUUUGCUAAGUCGUGGUUGUGGUUGGUGCAAAGGUCGAUAUUUGGUGGGCUGACUAUUUGGAGGCUUUCUUUCAGUUUUUCUAGCAGGGGAUUGGGAUUUUGAAAUAUGAAGUCAAAUAUACAAAAACUCUUCCUUGAUUGCUUGCUUGUUUUGUAGCUGAAAACACCAUAAAAUUAAAGCUAUCAGUCUACCUAGUUGUUUUUGUAAUUGUGCAUCCGAAGCAAUGACUGGAACAGUUGAUGUCCAAAUAUUUAGACAACUUAGACCUCAGUGUUUCAGUGUCCCAAAUAUUUAAUUUUCCCAAACAACAUUCCUCUCAGGUUUGGGUAAAUGACUGCUUUGUAUUGUGGAGUGUGGAGGAUGAGAGAAGAUGGAGGGCAAAGGAGCACCGAAGGAGUUUGGAAGGCAGAGUGCAGGAGCAGAACCAUAGACAGCUGAGAGUCAGUGGUGCUAAUGUGGGGUCUGAGUGUGUAACCUCACUCUCAGUGCGCUCUGAUUAAAGAAUGAUUUAUAGGCCUGCUGGAGAGCCCUCUCAGCAAUCCGUCUCCUCAAUGAGAUUUUUUUCCAUUUCGAGGGGUUUGGUAAAUCAAGCCAUCUUGGAGAGGAUCUUGGGUGGACAAUGUCAAUGUGUUACUGAGAGGGAGCCAUUAAAUGCUAUAAUGAUGAAAGCAUGGGGGGGUUCACAGGUGCAUACAGACCAUAUUUGUUACACACAGUAUUGGUCCUGACAUCUCUAGUGGUAUAUAUCAGUUUAUGGAGACAUUUAUCAUUUCUACACACUGAUCAUCAGAUUAAUCUUCUUUGGUGUUCAUUUGCAUGUGAAGAUUUGAGAUGUGUUUUGAUAAUGAGUGUUGGAAUAUAAUAUUUCUUUCUUCCUCCUCCAUAUUCAUACUUUAAUGCUGAGUUAAUGCUCAGUGAUUGGUUGGAUCACUUUGGUCCAGGCUUAAUAUCUCAAAUAUAACAGACUUUAAUGUCACAAUCAAGAUUAAUUGUAAUAACUGUGGUGAUCCCCUGAAUGUGAAAAUGGUAAACAUUAUUCUUGCUAAAAAUCUGCUUUUUAGCAUUAUCAAUUAAUAUUUAGCUCGAAGAACCACUGUGUGGGAACACAGAGACUCUUUUCCAGUAGUUUUAUGUAGAUAUGAUUGCCAGUAUCUUGAAAGAAGACAGAAUAAGGAAAAUGGCUGCAUAGAAUCUUAUAAAAUGACACUUGAAACUGUUAUUUGUGUUAGAAUCAGGAGUUAAAUCAUCAUUUGCACUGUAUUGAAAACAAUACUCAACAAUAGACAAAAAUUACUUUCAACAAUGGAAAUUCUAGCAGUGUAACUGAUUCUGGUUUGAUGACUUGAGCUCAGAAGCAGCACACUUAUGAUGGGAACUCACUGCAGAGUGCUCUGACACACCCAUCAAUCAUUAACAAAUCAUCUGCAGACUGGAUCAUAUCUAUCAGAUGGUGUCAUGAUGCCAUUUGUCCACAGUGUGCUGCAUGUCACUGUGGUCUGAAUCACAAGUGCAACAGUUAUUGCACACAGUGAAUAGCUUUUAAUUUCCAUAAUAUCUCCAAAGGGUUCAGUAUGUCGGAAUUUGUAUGGCAAAAAUCAAAUUGUAGGUACUUCACUUAUGAUUAUACUGCAUUCAUGUUUAUAUUCCAUAAUUGUGACCUUUUCAUAAACCAAAGCACACAGCCAUGCUGUGUGAUGUUUCCCAAUUAUCUCUCCCUGUUUACCCAAUUACAUUAAUUAGAAUGCACUGUAUUUACAUAACCCAGAACAAAUAAGCCAUUGAGCUAAACCUAUUAUUAAGCUUCUUUGUAAUUAAUUACUCCACCUACUGUUGCCAUUGUUAUAAUGCAGCUAUACUCAGGAGCAAACUCACACAGACAAGCCUGCUUGUUUACAAAAAAAAGUGUUUGGGUUUCAUGUUAUCAUUAUAGAUGUAAAUUCAUAAUUAAAGCUCAGUAUGGCAAACCACAAAUAAACUGAAAGCAUGGUAUUCGUCAGUGUUGGUAGGCUACAUGUAUUCCUAUAAUUUACUUUAGUAAAAGUACUGAUACAACAAUGUAUACUCCACUGCAAGUAAAAGUCCUGCAUUCAAAUUCUGCUGAAAUGAAAAGUAUCAAAAGUAUUUGAAACAUGCAGCAUUUUACUGUGUAGCUUGUCAAGGUGGAGCUAGUUUAACAAUUUAGUCUACAGUUAGGUAGAUUAGUACAGUGGUUUCCAACCCAGGGCUUGGACCCCUUCAAAGGGUCACAACAUAAAUCUGGGAGGUUGUGAGAUGUUUAGUGUGGCAGAAAAGAAUAAAAAACUAAUUUCUAUUACACAUUUUUUUAGACUUCAUAUAUCUAUAGGGACAAGUAUAUAGCAUGAACUAAUGCCACAUACCACGGCAUUAAUAGCCUGAGCUAGUUUUCUCUAGAUGGGCCUUUAAAAUAUAUUUAAAAAAUGACUGAUCCCUCUUUAAAAAGAGUAUUAAUUUGAGUUUAAAAGGAUUCCAGUCAUGAUCCAUUUUGAGUUCUGUGAGAAGUUCCUUAUGUUGAUCCCCCAAACCGAAAAAAGACAUCUGUCAAAGUAGGCAUUUAUGAAAGGGCACCUCACAAUUCCCAGUAUAUGCACCUUAUGUUACUGAGCCCCCCUCCCCACUUUGUUGUAGAUGCUGCUUGUGACCAAGAAGCAGCACAAUAACAAAUGUGAAAAGAUCAUGGAAUACAUACAACUUUUUGCAGCAUGAAAUGGUAAUUAAUCUCUAAAGAGUCUAAAUGCAUGCAACUUUGGACUGAAUCUUUAGUUCAUUUGUGAAAUAUUGGGUAAAUUGGGCCUCAAACUGUCAUUUAAGCCAUGGAAAGAAAGCCAUCUGAGAAGUGUAGAGGGGAAUAAUUUUUUGGCAGAACUGCGAACAACUAUCUGAAAUAUGACAAGGUGCCAAAAUCUGACACAGCUUUUUUGUAAGAGGUCACAAGCCAAAAAUAUGCUAAUGUACUGUAUUUUAUAAGCUGUUCCUAUAUUAUUUUUUAAAUGUAAAAUAUUAAUGCGAAAAGCACAUAACUAGUAAGUUGUCUUAUAAAUGUUGCAGAGUAAAAAGUCUUAUAAAUCCAUCUCAAAUGUGGAGAAUUAUAAAGAAGCACAAAAAUACUCAAAUAAAGUACAAGCAGCUUAAAAUUGUACUUACUGUGCUUAAGUUAAUGGAAUUAAUUAGUUGCUUCACCACUGGCUCAAUUCUACAGGUAAAAUACAAUAGAUACAUUGAUGAACUGAAGUAUAUGUCCUUCAAGAUUGUUUUAUCUCUUUCUUACUCUAUCACAUCUUUUCUCACUGGUCUUACAAACAUCACAGAAACCUUUACAGCAGUAGCAUUAAUGCAGAGCCGUCUGCCCUUCAAUAAAAAACUCAGACAUUCCAGUGUGACAAAGUCUGUGAUCCAGUCAAUUACGAUGUAAACAAAGCCAGAGCAGGGACAAAGAUGUUUCUGCUGUGUGCUUCACUCUAUAUUUUCAGAUCUGGCCUAACAAUGUAGCCCACGUACCAACCUAACCUGCCUGAAUAACAGUGAUUAAAUUGGGCAGACUACUUGCUCAUCAUUAUGGCACAAGGAGAGGGCAGUCAGAGAAUACUUGAAAGUACUUAACAGUCACAGAACACAAUAUUUUUCUCUGUUGAUUAGCUUAUAUAGAGCAGAAGAGCAUGGGUGAUGAUUAUUCCUGAAGAUGACAAAGGCAACAUGUUGGAGAUGUGCUGCCUCUAUAAAUGUCGGGCUAAGCAUAGUAAUUUGAUGCUUUUAGCACUAUUUCCCCUCUUGCAUAUUCCAGCAGAAUGGCAUUCAGCUGAAAAAUCUAUCCUUCACUAUUAUACAGAAUCAAAUAAUAAAGACACAAAGGCACCUCUCAGAGUACAAACGCACAAAAAAACCAAAACAAGUUACACUACAUCUCCGUUGCAAUAGCUCAUUCUUUUAGUCACAUCACAGUAUUUUGUCUGUCUGAUUUACCAGGUAGACCAUACUGCAUGGAUAUGACAGGGCCGCAAACAUUAUGCCCUGAAUAUGUAAAAGACUUUUCUCUGGUAUGUGUAGCUCCUUGCAACAGAGCUGUCUCCCUGGAAAAAAGUGCCAAUUAUAAUAUUAAAGCUGUCUCUACCAGUGACCUUUUUGCAUUUGCUCUGUAUGCUAUUACACUCAAUCAAGAAAGGUCAGUGUUGGACGUGGGUCUCAUGCAAAACUGUUUUUUUUCAUAUUGUUUUGCCUGUUUGUACAGUUGGAUUUCAGAGCACAAACACGUGGAAUAUUAUCCAUGUGACCUUGCAUCAGAUUUGGUGAUUGAAUACACUGAUAUGGCUUGAAUAAUAACAUGCGCUCUACAUACAUGUAGAAGUUAAGUGCUAAAACUAAAAAGAAGUCAUGUUUGGUAAAUUGUGGGACAGUUAUGCAAAGACAGCAGACAGUAGUUUACUGAUUUAUCUGUUUCUACAGUAGAUAUUUUUUACAAUAGAGUAGCUAUUUAGUUAAGAGUGCUGUUACUGUGCUUCUGGCUGACAGUGUGACAGAAAAACAGUAACUGUCUGAGCCAGUUAGGACAAUACGUAAAUUUGACAUAAUAUUGAAAAUUAAAAUAGAACUAAUUCUAUCACACUAAAUACAGAAUCUCAUGCAAUUUUGAUAAAUGCUCAAACUUAUACUCAUUAUAUUACUCAAUCUUUGUGCUGGUGUCACUGUUAAAUCAGUAAACCUAUUUUUACAGCAAUAUAUAACUUAUUUUCCAGACCUUCCAUUCACACUGCCAUGAUUAUGGUUUUUCUAUAAACAUACCUACAGCACACUGUGACUGAGCAUGCUCCAAAGGAUUGUACUUGCUUUGCAUAGUCAUAUCAGUGUUUGAGAAGGGAGCCCCUUGGUGGGCAAACUCUGAAUUUCUCUUCUUGUCGAAUAUAAACACAACUAUAAAUAUGCAAUUCUUCUCAUCCUUUUCUAUCUUUGUAAUGACUGAAAUGAAAACAUUAAUGACAAAAGGUAUAAAAUGUAUCGAUGGUAUGGUAUUCCAGGAACAAAUAUCACUUUAUUCAGGCGUUGCUUCACAACACAACCAAUCAUGUAUUGUAGUUGUCACUCAAUACAGUAUCUGUGAUUAUUAUUACCCUCUCUUUUGUGGUUUAUCCUUUCUUUUGUGUAAUAUAACCGAUCAACUUUCAAAUGCUGUGUGCCCACGAGCAGAAACUGGCCCAAUCAAACAUCCUCGGGGCACUGCAGGGAUUAUUUCCAGUUGGAACAAAACUACCUGGCCAAUUUUUCCAAAUCUUAGAACUGUGGUAGAAGGGCAGCCAUAAUGGUCGCCAAACAAAUAUAGGAUUGAUUGGCCAUUUGAAAUGCUCAAAGUGGCUAAAAAUAGAACAAGCCAAUCUCAUGUGCCAAUUCAGGUGCAAAAUGUGUGCAUCUCAUUAUCGAGAAGACUUGUUAACAGGAUUUGGUCAUAGGACAUUGUUAUUAUUUUUUUCUUUUCUUGUUGCAAGGAGUUCUCAAAUUCACACUAUUCAUUCUAUAUUUACUCAUUGUCUCUCCUCUCGACCUCACCAUAAAAUAGUUCAGGAUAUCAGGACUUUACUUAGCACAAGAACACACCAGAAAAAAAGGUUGACAUUUUCAAAUGAACCCUAAAUUUUCACUCUCCACUGCGUAAUGUGAGCAUCACUGUCAGGCAGCAAUACAAUAUAAAUAUUGGUUAAUAUGACAAUUUAUGUAUGUGGCAUUGAUACUGACAUUACAAUUACUAUGAAGUUUAAUCAAUUUUGUAAACAUGGUAAAAACAUGGUAAUUGUUUGUAUGAACACUUUAUAUGUUAAUGCACAGAACAACAAUAAACAUAUUAACCUCAUAUAUCUUCCAGCAUGUAUGUGACAUUGGCAUCAACAGCAGUUACCAUAAUUAUGUUUAUACUUGGUAAAUAAAGGUUGAAACGCAAAACAACAAAUCACAAUGCUCAGUCAUACUGUAAAAUUAUAUUAACUGAGCAGUAGGACGUGCCACUCAUGCCAAAGUACGUCCCUCAGUGUGGUUUUUAAUUCAAGUUUUGUCAGAUCAGCUACACAUAUAUUGGCACAAUUACUGGGUAAAAAAUAAGUUUCAUGGUUGGCACGAUACUGUAGCUCAUUGUUUAAUAUAAUUUCCUCCCACUAAGAGAGUCUGAGUUUGAUUCCUAGCCCAGGCAUUGUGCUUACUUUGCAUUCACAUCAAUGUUAUCACAAAGAUCGCUGCCUGCACUGUAAGCACAACCGCAUGAAUAUUUCACCACUAUUGAAAAACUUUCAUCUGUGAACAUUUGGACUCGACCCCUCCGUUUGUGGCUUGCAGCUAUGUUAUAUUUUUCUCUUUUGAGCAUACAUUUUGUUAGUGAGAACAGCUCUCUCUUAACAGAACAUUCACUUACUGUGUGGAUAGAGGCUGUUAGAUUUUGAUUCAUCAUUUCCUGUGGGUGGAGGAAUGUCCACUGCCAAACACAAAAUUUCAUUAGAAUAAAAAGGAUGAAUCUGUUGGUCUCAGAGGGAAAGAGACAUUAAUCUGUUUUAUAGUCUAUUCUAAGUAAGGCUCAUGUCAAAUAGAGGGUACAGUGAAUUAAAACACCAAUUAAUAUAUUUAUACUAAAGUCGCUGGAUGUAUGUGUUGUGUUGUUAUAAAACAGACCAAGUAGCCCACAGACUGUUAGAAUAAACAAAACUAGAUAGUGAUUAAAUCAGAGAGGUGUGGAUUAUCCGACUAGGUGAGAAACUUAAAUGUUUGAUCAUUUCUUUGUGGACUAAACUUUCAGCUGAGAGAUGAAAGAUGUGGCAAACUUUAUGUCAUCUCUGUGUUUGCCUCACAGGCAGAAUAAAAAGAAAGAAAGAAAAUGAAUAUCUUUUGUAAAUUUGGAGGAUUUUGGAGGUUUCACAGGAACAAUACCUUUCUUUUAAAUUUCAAAAAUGAAAAUAAACAUUUUCCCUUGAGAAGUUACAACUUAGUUGUCAACUAACACUUUAUCUUUGUAGUUUUUGUAGAAUUGAUGAACAACUCUUUGUUUUCCUAGCUAAUACAGAGAUAUUUUUGUUGUUGUAAUAUAUCAAAUAUGUGGUCAUAUAGAAAUUGUCUCAUUGCUUUUCAAUAGCUAUUCUAAAGAUAAAACAUGAUUAUCAAAUUGUUUGUGCAUUGCCACAUAUCUAUCUAUCUAUCUAAACUUUUUUUGUUUAUUCUUUUUUUAGUCUUUUUCUUAAAUUAUAAGUUAUGCAAACUAUCAAAAAACCCCUCAACAUUUUGCAUCCAAAUCCCUUGAACAUAUUCGAGUGGUAAUGUUUGACCACAUUCAAAACAUACAAAUAUACACAUAAAAAGAGUUCCUUAUGUCAUGUGUGAUUUAGUUGUAUAUGGCUGUCAUGUGUUUUAUAUGUUUGUGUACAGAUUUAUUUGAGAAUUAAGUGAGAUUUUUAAGUUCUUUCACACUCACACAGCUUACAAUGGGCCAUGCACAGCUACACUCAUGAAUACCAUUAAACGAAAUCAUCAUCGUUGAUUAGCUGAACUACACACAUAUGUGCCCUUUGAGGCACUUUGUAAUACAGAGUCAUUAUCAAUGUUUCUACAAUCUAUUACUGGAGCUGUUUCUUCAAAUAUAGCCAUGAAUCCCAUCAAAUUGUUAAUUACUUUCAGGCUGCCAGGCUGUGUUAAUUAGUUACCUUUUUAAAUAUUCAAUAUACACUUUCAAAUUCUGGCAAGAAUGUGAUUAUCAUAGAAACAUUUUAAAAACGUUUUCCUCAACGUGUAAUUCACACUGUGCCCUGUUUUAAUUAUUAUCAAACAAAAUUUCACAUAUUAAUGGAAAGAGGCUCACUAUACUGAGUGAGGUCUAUUGUUAGAAAUGUGGUUGAAAAUGAUGGGCUGGAAGUAGGAGCUCAAUUGUCCUUGUGUUGAUUUCAUUGACCUCUGCAGGGGUUCAUUCACGUCUAAUCAAUUCACCGAUCAGAGCAAGCUGAGCUCGAAAUAACCCCUGCAACCACAUCCCAGGCCCUCACAUUCAGUCAUACAGAUGCCAAUAUAAAUAAAUGCUCACAGAGACCUCUCCACACAUCAGUCUUUUAGACUGCUGCUUACUUUGCUACACCAUCACUUUGUGAGGUCUUUGCACAGCAGACCAGAAGUACCUCAUGCAACAGUUAUAUAAUGCAAAGUACAGUGCAUUAACACAUAGCCCAUGAGAGGUGGAACAUGUUAAACAUGACUACAUGGUUAGAGGGUAUAUGCUCACACCACAGCACUGCUAAAAUUCCUGAUGCAUGCACUGUACACUAAAAACCAACGGAGGAAAACUGAGAUUAACGUACUGCCAUCACUAUCUGUGAGAUUGAAACAGCUAGCCGUCUGACCUUGAGCAACAUACAUUUCUGCACAUAUAGCGUCAUUGCAUCACUUCAGUGGGAAGCCACUUUGAGGGCAAACACUCACCCAUUUUUGUGUGUCAUUGCGUAAUAGUGAUAGUAAAGCUGUGACAAUUAUGUGAUAAUAAUAGCGCAGUUUUCUCUUCUCAUUUGCCCCCUUCUGUGCAGAGAAGAGCAAAUCAAAUACAGAGCAGCUGGUUGAGUUCAGGGUCUUGCUCAAUGGCACUUAAGUAGGGUAGAUGCUUGCUGAUUCUGGAGUUGGAGGACAGAAAAUGUCAUGUUACACAGUUCACUGACACUCCGCUCCCUAAAGGCCUUAGAACUUAAUGAUAAAUUAUAGUAGAUCAGACAUCAACCAUGCUUUAAGCCAUUAGACAUUUGAAAAUAUGGGCUGCAAAGUGGCUUAAUGGAGUGUUUGAUGGCUUUUAAUGAGCUACUAUACAACACGAUUAGUUCUUGCAAACAGAUUUGAUAAUAAAUGCUGGAAACAGACUGUAUAGAUAUGUAUGUGUGUGUGUGUGUGUGUGUGUGUGCACAUAUAAGAUCAGAAUUUACUGUCACCUGUGUGCAGUCAGGACUUUUUCCUCUGCUGUGGAUGUUGAUGUAGUGCCACCCAUAGACAGGUCAAUAUAUUACAUCUUCCUCUUCAGUCUGUGUGAGUAGGAGAUGGUAAUCACAGAGAUACCAGACUGACAAAGUAGCAGCUCUGUGUUUGCAAUCUGUUUGUGCAGUGGAUGCAACACAAGCGACUGCAAUCACCAGGAGGUGUACAACAGAAAUAUACUGGAACAUUUCACAUUUUCACAUGACACAGUGGUACUGGUGUAUGUCUGUUCAAUAAAGGUAUAUUUUGGCCUGGAGAAUGUAUUUGCAUAAUAUAUAAACACAUGUUUUACUACACUGUUGCAAAAUAAUGCUGCAAUAUGUUUGCAAUUACAUGAUUUGUUAUAUGGUCAAAAUGCUAAUACUUUACAUUUAGAUUAAAUGUCAAAUACAACAUUGUUAAAAAACUGAGUCAAUAAAUAUGUUUUGGUGUGAGUUUCA